CUUGACGACCAUAGCAAGGUGGUCCCACUCCUUCCCAUCCCGAACAGGACAGUGAAACGCCUUUGCGCCGAUGAUAGUGCACGUCCGUGUGUGAAAGUAGGUCAUCGUCAGGC
rnacentral:rRNA from 1 species